UUUUAGAAAUUAAUUUAAAGUCUAACCUGCCCACUGAAUAUUUUAAAUGGCCGCAGUAUUUUAACUGUGCAAAGGUAGCAUAAUCAUUAGUCUUUUAAUUGAAGGCUGGAAUGAAUGGUUGAAUGAAAUAUUAACUGUUUCAUAAAAAUUUAUAAUAGAAUUUUAUUUUUAAGUCAAAAAGCUAAAAUAUUAUUAAAAGACGAGAAGACCCUAUAAAUCUUUAUAUUUAAAUAAUUUUAAUUAUAUAGAUAAGUUUAAUUAUAAUUUAUUUCAAAUAUUUUAUUGGGGUGAUAUUAAAAUUUAAUAAACUUUUAAUUUAUAAUUAACAUAAAUUAAUGAAUUAUUGAUCCAUUUAUUAUGAUUAAAAAAUUAAGUUACUUUAGGGAUAACAGCGUAAUUUUUUUAGAGAGUUCAUAUUGAUAAAAA
rnacentral:rRNA from 1 species